AUGCUUGCUCUAAUGUAUGAAUCAGCAGCUACAGUGAAGCUUCUUCUUGAGCAAGGGAUUGAUGUCUUUGCUCAAGACAUCUAUGGAUGGACUGCAGGAGACUAUGCUCUUCCUGUCAAUUGCCACCUGAUUUCUGAAUAUAAAGAAGAAAAGCAACAUAAAGGUCCUUCUCUAAAUGGCAACCCAGGUAAUACUUCUGAUAAUAAAUUACUCGUAGUGAUCCUACCAUAGAUAAAGUAAGAGUAAGGAAGUUUUGAUAAUGAAAGAACAGUGCAACAUACAUUGUGUAAAUUGCAUGUGUAUUAUUAUUUUUAAAAUUAAUUUCUAAAUAAUCUAGCGUUCAGAAUUCUUAAGUAAUCAAUUGCAGGUAAUUGAACGUCAAAGACAGUAUUGUCUAGACAAAAAAAAAAAAAAAAAAAAAGGAGUUCCCGUUGUGGCACGGUGGUUAACGAAUCCAACUAGGAACCAUGAAGUUGUGGUUUCGAUCCCUGGCCUUGCUCAAUGGGUUAAGGAUCCGGUGUUGCCAUGAGCUGUGGUGUAGGUCGCAGACGCAGCUCGGAUCCCGCGUUGCUGUGGCUCUGGUGAAGGCCGGCAGCUACAGAUCUGAUUAGACCCCUAGCCUGGGAACCUCCAUAUGCCACAGGAGCAGCUCAAGAAAAGGCAAAAAGACAAAAAAAAAAAAAAAAAAAAAAAAAAAGAACAGUAUUGUCUGAAAAGAAAUUCAUUCAUUUAACUGGCUCCUAAAAACCCAUAUUAUAUCUUUGUGUAAAUAAGAGAAACGAUUUUUUUUUUUUCAUUUUUAUGGCCAUACCUGCAGCAUAUGGAAGUUCCUGAGCUAGGGGUUGAAUUAGAGCUGCAGCUUUGGCGUAAGCCUCAGCCAUGACAUUACCAUAGUUGACAAGCAUCUGCCAACUAGCCCCGCCUUGUGGCAACACUGGAAUGGCAAUCCACUGAGCAAGGCCUGGGAUCAAGGCCACAUCGUAACAGAGACAACAUCAGGUCCUUAAUUGGAUGUCACAAUUGGAACUCCGAUGGAAAAAAAAGUAUAAUUUAUGGCUGCACCUGUUGCAUAUGGAAGUUCCCAGGCCAGGAAUUGAAUCCAAAGCACACCUGCAGUAAUGCCAGAUCCUCUAACCCACUGUGCCAGGCUGAGAAUUGAACCUGCACCUCCACAGUGACCCGAGCUGCAGCAGUCGGAUUCUUAACCCGCUGCACCACAGUGGAAACUCCUGCAAGAGAAAAAAACAGUUCUAAAUUAGUAUGUUGUAUUUCCUCUAUAAUCACAUUAUAUCGAAUUGGUCUUGUUAUAAGAAUGGCUCUUUGAUUUUUACAACAAAUGGAUUACAUUUAGUAAAUGUGUGUUAGUAGAUGAGUGUUGAUUAGUUUCACUGCAAAAGUUACCAUGUCUAAAAUUGGGAACUCAGCGAUUCCUUCCAGUAAUAUAAUAAUAUGAAGCCUAAUAUAAAGCUUAAUGAUUUCUGUUUUAAAAAUAGAAUAAAGAUUGUCUUUGAAGUAUAGGGAUGACCCAGUUUUAAUUCCCAUUUGCUAAAUCCCUGUGUAUAUUUUAACGAUAAACCAAAAAGUCAUCACCAAAAGUCUAGUUUCCACCCCUCACCAUCCAGUUGACCCCCUUUCCCUAUUUUAUCUCCUCCAUGCCCCUUUCAAGAGAUUAUAUUUCAUAAAACUGAAAUCACAAAGUCUUGGCUGCUUAUCUUGCAAUUAGAAGAGGGGCAGAAAGAGUUUGUUUCCUGGGUUUUGCCGUGCUCUCGGAUACAGUGCCUGUAGACCAAGCUUCCGUGUGAGAGGAUGUUUUCAUCCUGAACUGAAGAGCUGGAGAAGUUGUGUUACGUCACAGCAAAAUACGUGUAUGCGCUUCCAACUUGUCCAAGUGAUGGAAGUCCAAAAGUGUGCUUCUAUUUAAGUUGCUAUUGUCAGUUUAUGGCACUGAUUCUACUAAUGGUAUCUUUUUCUGUCAGUCUCAUGGAGUUUGGUUAGGAUUAUGGCCAUUGUAAAUGGCACUUCACUUUUAGGUAUCGAAUUUUGGUAAAUACCACUCUUUUGUUUUGCAUUUGGUAAAUAUCAAGGAGGGGAAAGGGUUCUUUUGCAUUCAUUGCCUAUCAGGAAUAUGAUCGACAGUCACCCCAGUGUAGUUUCCAGGUGUGGUCCCAAAGGAACACGUUUUAACAAAGCAUCAGUUUUAAAAUGUCUUUUACUUUUUUUUUUUUUUUAAUAGUGUGUGAGAGUUCUGAAGAAGACUCUUUAAGCAGGUAGGAUUUUAUGGAUUUUUUUAAACUAAAAGGUUAACUAAGGGAACACAGAGAAAAGAAGCUAACAUCUUUUGUUACCUCAUAGACUCAUCACAACUGCUUUGCAAAGUGACUGUUCUAGUAUAGUCUACGCUUCAUUAAUUAGGUGACUGGGGUUUAGGGAGGUUGAAUGAUUAUCCUCUGAUUCUAUAGUUUAGAAGUAGCUGACCUGUGAUUUGACCAUCAGCCUGCCUGACUCCCAGACCCACUUUCUCAACCCUCGGUAGAGACUGAGAAAUCCACGCAGCACUAGGGUCAAGACCCUCAUCGGAUCAACUCUGAAAGUCAGACCUAGUGACGUGUGAACUCUGAUUUAGAAUUUUCCUAAGAAACCUUGUUAGUCUCAGUCUUUGUCCUGGUGUAUUUGAUAGUCACAGUGGGACCUAGUACCUUGUUUUUCCCAUUAAAGUGUUAGGGCAGAAUCUAGGUAUCUGUGGCCACAGAACCAUAGGAUUUUACACAGGCAAGGCCUCAUUAGGCAAGUUUUCUUAGUUAUCAUGAUAUCGACUCACCUUAAGAUGAAUUUUUUUAAUAGGAGGAGCGUGUCUAUGUAUAUAGACUGUGUUAGGUUAAUUAAAUUCAACAUCUGUAGAGAGCAUAUUUCUAAUUGAUUUCUCUACUGACUGACUUCCAAACCUGGUUUUCUCUUCAGGCUAGAGUCGCUUUUCCUCUUAGGAAUCAGUCAUAGGCCUCAGUUGGCUCGCUGGCACCAUGCCUGUGUUGGGAGUGGAUGACUGAGGCUCCGGUUAGCCUGUUUGCCAGAAACCGGGAACUAGAGGCUCCUACUCAUGGUCAUUUGAGCCCAUCCUUGUUUUAGAAAUCCUUGCCUUCAUAGGCUGAAACCUUAAAGGCUGGAGACGGACCUUGAGCCCUGCAGAAGAGUGACCUGGGAGAGGAGCCUGUAGGAAGGAAGAUGUAGAGCGAUACACAAGAAAUAGAAGCAUAGCUAUCCGGACUCCAUUUUUUAUAGUCCUCUCUCUCCUUGGGUCUCUGAGUGCCUGGGAGGGUUUUGAAGAGCUAGCUAGUUUAUGUGGACCUGAACCACCGCCAGGGCCUGUAUGGGAAAAAUAAUUAGACUUUAUAGUUUUUAACGAUUCAUCUCUCUGGGAAUAGGUUAGCAUAUAAUUAAGCCUAUGCAUUUGUUCUGUGACUUUUCAUUUUCAGCUACACCCUCCGCAUAUGGAAGUUCCAGAGCCAGGGUUUGAAUCCAAGCCACAGCUGCUCCCUAUGCAACAGCUGUAGCAAUGCUGGGUCCCUAACCCCUUGGGUGAAAGGGGGAGCUCCUUUCUUUGACUUGCACACAUUUCAGGAAACUCCCUGUUUUAGAGUAAAGGGAAGGCAUGGGGCCUUCUUGAUAAAUUUUUUUCCUGCCGAAAGACAAAGAUUGCCUUU
rnacentral:lncRNA from 1 species